rnacentral:rRNA from 1 species
AUGAAAGAACUGAUGUCAGAGCUUGGCUUCAAAGAUACAAAAUUCGCGCCAAAACAACUGUUCGAGAAGCUACAAACAUUGGUGGAAAUAGAUGAUGAAGAAUCAAACAGGAAAUCAGUUAAAAUAUUUUUCCUUAUUUUUUUCCACAAUGUUGUCUGCGGGUCAAGCGUCGCUAUCUUCGCUCGGACAGCUAUAAUGGUCAAGGACAUGGACUAUCCAAAAAUGGCAAAGAUGGAUUUCUGCGAGGUAACCAUCAAAUGUAUUAGGGAAGGAGCCAAGACAUGGCAGAAGCACAGGAUGUUGCCUCAGGAGGAAAAGAACAAAAAACACAGCAAUGGUUUGGCACAGGUAGCAGUAAUCAUGUACCUUGACUCCCUGCUGCUGCCAACCGACACAAAAGAAAUGCGGAAGAUUACAAAUACAAUGGACAAAAUCUCAUUACCACGAGCAAACCAUCUCAAAGAGAGUGACCUAGCGAAAAUAGCUAGAGCAGACAUGAAAACGGACGGAAAAGCACGACCAGAUGACUAUGAAUUUGGCAAGAUAUAG